AAUACCGGAUGAGCCUACGAGGCCUUCGGGUCAUGUGGGAAAAGAUGGCCUCUGCUUGCAAGCUAUCGCAACGAGAUGAGCCCGCGUCCCAUUAGCUAGUUGGUGAGGUAACGGCUCACCAAGGCGACGAUGGGUAGCUGGUCUGAGAGGACGAUCAGCCACACUGGAACUGAGACACGGUCCAGACUCCUACGGGAGGCAGCAGUCGGGAAUAUUGGGCAAUGGGCGCAAGCCUGACCCAGCGACGCCGCGUGAGGGAUGAAGGCCUUCGGGUCGUAAACCUCUGUCGGGAGGGAAGAAUGGCGGUGAAGCGAAUAGUUUCGCUGUCUGACGGUACCUCCAAAGGAAGCGCCGGCUAACUCCGUGCCAGCAGCCGCGGUAA
rnacentral:rRNA from 1 species